rnacentral:rRNA from 1 species
UACGGAGGGAGCAAACGUUGUUCGGAUUUACUGGGCGUAAAGGGCGCGUAGGCGGCCACUGCAAGUCGGUUGUGAAAUCUCCGGGCUUAACCCGGAAAGGUCAAUCGAUACUGCAGGGCUAGAGUGCAGAAGGGGCAACUGGAAUUCUCGGUGUAGCGGUGAAAUGCGUAGAUAUCGAGAGGAACACCUGCGGCGAAGGCGGGUUGCUGGGCUGACACUGACGCUGAAGCGCGAAAGCUGGGGGAGCGAACGGG